rnacentral:rRNA from 1 species
AACAUCGCCUCUUGAAUCUUUAUAAGAGGUCCAGCCUGCCCAGUGACUCUGUUCAACGGCCGCGGUAUCCUAACCGUGCGAAGGUAGCGUAAUCACUUGUUCUUUAAAUGAGGACUAGUAUGAACGGCACCACGAGGGUUAUGCUGUCUCCCUUUUCUAAUCAGUUAAACUAAUCUCCCCGUGAAGAAGCGAGGAUAAGCAUAUAAGACGAGAAGACCCUAUGGAGCUUUAAACAAUAUAGCAUUUAUCAUAAAAAUCCUAACUUGCGAGUCCGCUCUACAACAGAUUAUCUGACUAUAAGUUUUUGGUUGGGGUGACCGCGGAACAUAACAUAACCUCCACGUUGCAAGAAUUUACUUCUAAACUAAGAACCACAGCCCUAAGAAUCAAUACCUUGACAUCAAUUGACCCAAUACAUUUGAUCAACGAACCAAGUUACCCUAGGGAUAACAGCGCAAUCCACUUCAAGAGCCCCUAUCGACAAGUGGGUUUACGACCUCGAUGUUGGAUCAGGGUUUCCCAGUGGUGCAGCCGCUACUAAAGGUUCGUUUGUUCAACGAUUAAAACCCUACGUGAUCU